CCUACGGGCGGCUGCAGUGGGGAAUAUUGGACAAUGGGCGGAAGCCUGAUCCAGCAAUACCGCGUGUGUGAAGAAGGCCUGAGGGUUGUAAAGCACUUUCAAUAGGAAGGAAUACCUAUCCAUUAAUACUGGGUAGACUGACAUUACCUAUACAAGAAGCACCGGCUAACUCCGUGCCAGCAGCCGCGGUAAUACGGAGGGUGCAAGCGUUAACGUGAAUUGCUGGGAGUAAAGCCGUCAUAUCAGAUGUGAAAGCCCCGGGCUUAACCUGGGAAUGGCAUUUGAUACUGGCGAGCUAGAGUUGAGUAGAGGGGAGUGGAAUUUCAGGUGUAGCGGUGAAAUGCGUAGAGAUCUGAAGGAACACCAGUGGCGAAGGCGACUCCCUGGACUCAAACUGACGCUGAGGUACGAAAGCGUGGGUAGCAAACAGGAUUAGAUACCCGGGUAGUC
rnacentral:rRNA from 1 species